UACGGGGGGGGCAAGCGUUGUUCGGAAUUACUGGGCGUAAAGGGCUCGUAGGCGGCCAACUAAGUCAGACGUGAAAGCCCACGGCUCAACCGUGGAAGCGCAUCCGAAACGGCCUCGCUCGAGUCUCGGAGAGGAAGGUGGAAUGCUUGGUGUAGAGGUGAAAUUCGUAGAUAUCAAGCAGAACACCUGCGGCGAAGGCGGCCUUCUGGACGAUGACUGACGCUGAGACGCGAAAGCGUGGGGAGCAAACAGG
rnacentral:rRNA from 1 species